GCAAAAAAUGGAUAAGGUUGGAAAAUAUGUAAAGAAUUUUGGGCUCCAUAACAGCAGAUCUAGUAAACAAAACCAUACACAAAAAAUGGAUGGGGUUGGAAAACAAGUAAAGUUGAAGAAGAACAAUAACAAGAAACUUAAAUGCUCAAAAUCCUAGACUUAAUUCUAGAGCGAGUACAUCAAUACCUCUUAAUUCUUUUGAUUAGUAAGUUUUAAAACCCCAAACCCAUCCUUAACCCAAACAUCCACCAGUCAAGCCAACGUCAAUAGGAAGCAAUAACAUUUCAUUCAGGAACUAAAGAAAAGCAUUUUGCUCCUCUUUAAGUCUAAAUUCAACCGCCAUUUCCAGGUGAAAGUCAACAUAUGAAUUAGCAUAACGAAUAUA
rnacentral:misc_RNA from 1 species